rnacentral:rRNA from 1 species
UCUACGGGAGGCAGCAGUGAGGAAUAUUGGUCAAUGGCCGAGAGGCUGAACCAGCCAAGUCGCGUGAGGGAAGAAUGUCCUAUGGAUUGUAAACCUCUUUUGUCAGGGAGCAAAGUCACCCACGUGUGGGUGUUGGAGAGUACCUGAAGAAAAAGCAUCGGCUAACUCCGUGCCUGCAGCCGCGGUACUACGGAGGAUGCGAGCGUUAUCCGGAUUUAUUGGGUUGAAAGGGUGCGUAGGCGGGUUAUCAAGUCAGCGGUACAAGCGUGGAGCUCAACGCCAUCGAGCCGUUGAAACUGUUGAGCUUGAGUGGGCGAGAGGGAGGCGGAAUGCGUGGUGGAGCGGUGAAAUGCAUAGAGAUGACGCAGAACUCCGAGUGCGAAGGCAGCAUACCGGCGCCCGACUGACGCGGAAGCACGAAAGCGUGGGUAUCGAACAGGAUUAGAUACCCCUGUAGUC